rnacentral:lncRNA from 1 species
AAAUAAUUGCAUGGGGUUCUAAUUGGCAAUUACUUCAAUUUCACUUGGUCAGACAGAAAUAAAUCUUUUUAAAAAGAGGAAAAGAAACUAUAGCUUGAUCUUAGUAUCACUGUGAAAGUUUUUUUUUUUUUUAGUUUUAAAAUAUUAGCUCCUUUUACCCUAUAUUGGUUUCUUAAAAGUAAGCCGUGGCUCAUUCUCUGCAGGUUGACUUCUCAGCUUUGAUUUUUUCAUUUUUAGUUUUGACUGCCGUGGAUUAUUUUUUCUGUGUGCGUGUGUAUGUGUGUAUAAUCAUAUAUGUAUAUAGUUGUUAAUGUCAUAUUGUUGCUAGGAAUUUCAAGUUUUUAAAUGUUUUAAUCAGUAAGAAAGAACACAGCUUUAAAUUAUUAAAAAAAUAAUUAUAAACCUAAGGGUUUAUGAUGUCAAGCAAAAUUUGUUUGUUUAUUGAGACGAGGUCUUGCUCUGUCGCCCAGGCUGGAGUGUGGUGGUGUGAUCAUGGCUCAUUGUAGCCUCAAUCUCCUGGGCCCAAGCGAUUCUCCUGCCACAGACUUCGGAGUAGCUGGGACUACAGGCCCAAACCACGAUGCCCGGCUAAUUUAUUUUUUGUAGAGAUGGGGUCUUGCUAUGUUGCCCAGGUUGGCCUCAAACUCCUGGCCUCAAGUGAUCCUCCCACCACAGUCUCCCAAAGUGUUGGGAUUACAGGUGUGAGCCACUAUGCCUGGCCUGCAAAAUUUAAAUGGUAGGACAUUGGCUGUAUUUCUAAUAUUUAGGGGUCAGAUGUACGUUGGCCUUGAGUCAUCUUUUUUCUGCUUCUCAUUUGUGACUGGCAAUAGUGACCAUAUGAUGAGGUGUUUUUGACGUAGUGAGCUGUAUGCCAUUUUUAUAAUUGUAUUGCAGGAGCUUGGGGGCUUGAGCAGAGAGUGGGGCACCCAGAAUCUUGAGUGCAGGCCCUGGCAUUGCCAUUGGCUGGUCCUCCGUUUUUGCUCACGUCAGUCAUUCCGUCUCUGUCUCUUUCCUUCCCUUCACCCAGUGAGACGAUGGUAACAAGCAGUAGUGGAGUUCAUGGUCCCAGGAUCCCACAUUUCUGAGCCACUCAGAAUGAGAAUGUGGUAGAAAGAUGAGCUGUGAGGGGCGACUGAGGAAGCUGAUGUGAGGGGCUGGACGUGUGGAUGUGGAACUGCGGCCACGGCACAGUUCCGGGGCCUUCCAUGCACGGAAGGAAAAGCCGUCAGUUAUCGAACGCCUGCUCAGCUCUGGGUCGCCUGUUUACCAAGUGCUCGUCGGAGGACACAGUCCUGAUGAUGUGGAGCUUCCAUCCCAGCAGAAGAGAGGGACGUGCGUGGGUUCCAGAGUCAUGCUAUAUCAUCACAAACCACAAAGGCCCGUGAGAGGAAGUACAGGGUGCCAGGAAACUCACAGCAGGCCCGGAAUGGGGUAUGAGCGACGGGUGCGAAGGAGGCGCCGAGGGGAGGUGGAGCUGAGAGCUGCAGGGGACUGGAGGCCGCCAGGCCACGAGGUGGAGGGGCAGCAGUGCAGGAAGAGGCAUAUAUUAUUAGGUUGAUGGAAAAGUCAUUGUGGUUUUUGCAAUUAUAUUUAAUGGCAAAACCCGCAAUUACUUUUGCACCAGCCUAACAGCUUAAAAUGGCUGUUUCUGUAGGUCAGAUAUAGCAAAAUGUCAGCAACGUCUAGUGAGUCACUAAGACAAAUGCCUGGAGCAGAAGGAAGCCUGCCUGGCUUUUUAAGAAAGAAGGCCGAGUGUGCGGGAUGUUCAAGAAAAGAGGUGAAGUUGUCCACAUGGGGCUGGCUAUGCAUUUUGGUCCUUAUCCUAAGAACAAAGUCCUGGGACAC